UGGGGAAUAUUGCACAAUGGGGGAAACCCUGAUGCAGCAACGCCGCGUGAAGGAAGAAGGCCUUUGGGUCGUAAACUUCUGUCCUAAGGGAAGAUAAUGACGGUACCUUUGGAGGAAGCCCCGGCUAACUACGUGCC
rnacentral:rRNA from 1 species